rnacentral:rRNA from 1 species
UACAGGGGGUGCAAACGUUGCUCGGAAUCAUUGGGCGUAAAGCGCACGUAGGCGGUCUGUUAUGUCGGAUGUGAAAGCCCUUGGCUUAACUGAGGAAGUGCAUCCGAAACUGGCAGGCUAGAGUACUAAAGAGGGUCGCGGAAUCCCCGGUGUAGAGGUGAAAUUCGUAGAUAUCGGGAGGAACACCGGUGGCGAAGGCGGCGACCUGGGUAGAUACUGACGCUGAGGUGCGAAAGCGUGGGGAGCAAACAGG